ensembl:snRNA U1 U1 spliceosomal RNA
AUACUGGCAAGGGAGAUACCAUGAUCACGAAGGUGUUUUUCCCAGGGCGAGGCUUAUCUAUUGCACUCUGGAUGUGCUGACUCCUGCAAUUUCCCCAAAUGUGGGAAACUCGACUGUAUAAUUUGUAGUAGUGGGGGGCUGCAUUUGCACUUUCCCCUG